AUUCUAGAGCCAAUACAUGCUAAAAACCUCGACUUCGGAAGGGGUGUAUUUAUUAGAUAAAAAACCAGCGCCCUCCGGGGCUUCUUGGUGAAUCAUAAUAACUUAACGAAUCGCAUGGCCUUGCGCCGGCGAUGGUUCAUUCAAAUUUCUGCCCUAUCAACUUUCGAUGGUAGGAUAGUGGCCUACCAUGGUUUCAACGGGUAACGGGGAAUUAGGUAUGUUACCGCCGGAAUCGAUGGAUCUCAAGGGCGAGGGCUAACGUUCGUGAAGGGUUCGACUCCGGAGAAGGAGCCUGAGAAACGGCUACUACAUCCAAGGAAGGCAGCAGGCGCGCAAAUUACCCAAUCCCGACACGGGGAGGUAGUGACAAUAAAUACUGAUACAGGGCUCUUUUGGGUCUUGUAAUUGGAAUGAGUACAAUUUAAAUCCCUUAACGAGGAACAAUUGGAGGGC
rnacentral:rRNA from 1 species